rnacentral:lncRNA from 1 species
UACAGAUGCCCUGGGGUAGGAGGGGGCACCAGUGAGCCAGCUGUGCCCCAUCCCUGCCUGCUCCCUCUCCUCUCUCCAUAGGGUUCUCUCUGGAGAGGGUGGGUGGUGCUGACAGACACUGUCUGUCUUAUGCCCAGGCCUACCCCAUUGCUGUCGAUGCAGGUGGCAUUGCUGAGGGGACAGUCACAGCUUGGGCCUGUCCAACCAGGCUCACACACACACUGGCCCAUGGAGCAGCGUCCUCGGUCUGCAGAGAGGGACAAGGAAGGGCGGGCAGAUCACAAGGUCAAGAGACUGAGACCAUCCUGGCCAACAUGGAGAAACCUCGUCUCUACUAAAAAUACAAAAAUUAGCUGGUCAUGGUGGCGCAUGCCUGUAGUCCCAGUUACUCAGGAGGCUGAGGCAGGAGAAUCACUUGAACCCGGGAGGUAGAGGUUGCAGUGAGCCGAGAUCACGCCACUGCACUCCAGCCUGGUGACAGAGCAAGACUCCGUCUCAAAAAAAAAAAAAAAAAAAGAAAAGAAAAAAGAAAUAAAACUGUCAGCCGGGCGUGGUGGCUCACACCUGUAAUCCCACACUUUGGGAGGCCGAGGCGGGAGGAUCACUUGAGCUCAGGAGUUCAAGACCAGCCUGGCCAACAUGGUGAAACUCUAUUUCCACUAAAAAUACAAAAAUUAGCUGGGCUUGGUGGUGGGCCCCUGUAAUCCCAGCUUCUUGGGAGGCUGAGGCAGGAGAAUUGCUUGAACCUGGGAGGCAGAGGUUGUAGUGAGCUGAGAUCAUGCCACUGCACUCUAGCCUGGGUGACAGAGCAAGACUCCGUCUCAAAAAUCAAUCAAUCAAUCAAUCAAUAAAAUUGUCUUUAUUUGCAAGCUGGAUGUCAAAAGGACAGAGAGGGGAUAGCUGAGCCCUGAUGCCUGGCAUAAACACGGGCCCCCCACCAAGGGCUGGCUCAGAAGGGAGGAAGAGGGAGGUUAACGCUUUGCAUGCUGGCAUGAUCACAGCUCACUGCAGUCUCGACAUCCUGGGCUCAGGCAAUCCUCCCACCUCAGCCUCCCAAGUAGCCCAGCUAAUUUUUUAUUUUAUGUAGAGACAGGGGCUCUGGCACACCCUGGCCACCCCCUGGCCUGCUGCCUCCUCAGGUCCAGCCAGACGGUCCUCAGCCUUCCCCAUUACCUUUGAUGAGCUGCACCUAGCACCCUUUUCAGGUACCUCCUCCAUCACAGCUUGUGCCUCACGGCGAGACCACUGCCACAUGGCCUGUCUGUCCUCUGAGCCCCUUCUAGGGU